rnacentral:rRNA from 1 species
CAUAUCAAUAAGCGGAGGAAAAGAAACCAACAGGGAUUGCCCUAGUAACGGCGAGUGAAGCGGCAACAGCUCAAAUUUGAAAUCUGGCUCUCGGGCCCGAGUUGUAAUUUGUAGAGGAUGCUUUUGAUGCGGUGCCUUCCGAGUUCCCUGGAACGGGACGCCAUAGAGGGUGAGAGCCCCGUCUGGUUGGAUGCCAAAUCUCUGUAAAGCUCCUUCGACGAGUCGAGUAGUUUGGGAAUGCUGCUCUAAAUGGGAGGUAUAUGUCUUCUAAAGCUAAAUACCGGCCAGAGACCGAUAGCGCACAAGUAGAGUGAUCGAAAGAUGAAAAGCACUUUGAAAAGAGAGUUAAAAAGUACGUGAAAUUGUUGAAAAGGAAAGCGUUUAUGACCAGACUUGGGCUUGGUUAAUCAUCUGGGGUUCUCCCCAGUGCACUUUUCCAGUCCAGGCCAGCAUCAGUUUUCGCCGGGGGAUAAAGGCUUCGGGAAUGUGGCUCUCUCCGGGGAGUGUUAUAGCCCGUUGCGUAAUACCCUGGCGGGGACUGAGGUUCGCGC